CGGAGGGUGCAAGCGUUGUUCGGAAUUACUGGGCGUAAAGCGCGGGCAGGUGGUCUUUUAAGUCCUUUGUGAAAUCCCGGGGCUCAACUCCGGAUGUGCAUAGGAUACUGGAAGACUGGAGACUGGUAGAGGCGAGCGGAAUUCCUGGUGUAGCGGUGGAAUGCGUAGAUAUCAGGAAGAACACCGGUGGCGAAGGCGGCUCGCUGGGCCAGUUCUGACACUCAGCCGCGAAAGCGUGGGGAGCAAACAGGAUUAGAUACCCUGGUAGUCCACGCCGUAAACGAUGGGCACUAGAUGCCGGGCCUAUAGACGGGUUCGGUGUCGCAGCUAACGCAUUAAGUGCCCCGCCUGGGGAGUACGGCCGCAAGGCUG
rnacentral:rRNA from 1 species